ensembl:snoRNA
UGGAGGACUGAGAAGGUGGAGCAGCUUGUGCUGUUCUAACUGGUUAGAGCCUCCGAGAGCAACACACAAACCACUCGAUGAAGUGGCUCUGUCACACGCAGAGCCACUCUGCAGUGUUUGUUGACAUCAC